UGGGGCGUCGCCAAGUGGUAAGGCGCCGGGUUUUGAUCCCGCCAGUCGAAGGUUCGAUCCCUUCCGUCCCAA
rnacentral:tRNA from 1 species